GAUGAACGCUAGCUACAGGCUUAACACAUGCAAGUCGAGGGGCAUCAGGAAGAAAGCUUGCUUUCUUUGCUGGCGACCGGCGCACGGGUGAGUAACACGUAUCCAACCUGCCCUUUACUCGGGGAUAGCCUUUCGAAAGAAAGAUUAAUACCCGAUGGCAUAAUGAUUCCGCAUGGUUUCAUUAUUAAAGGAUUCCGGUAAAGGAUGGGGAUGCGUUCCAUUAGGUUGUUGGUGAGGUAACGGCUCACCAAGCCUUCGAUGGAUAGGGGUUCUGAGAGGAAGGUCCCCCACAUUGGAACUGAGACACGGUCCAAACUCCUACGGGAGGCAGCAGUGAGGAAUAUUGGUCAAUGGGCGCUAGCCUGAACCAGCCAAGUAGCGUGAAGGAUGAAGGCUCUAUGGGUCGUAAACUUCUUUUAUAUAAGAAUAAAGUGCAGUAUGUAUACUGUUUUGUAUGUAUUAUAUGAAUAAGGAUCGGCUAACUCCGUGCCAGCAGCCGCGGUAAUACGGAGGAUCCGAGCGUUAUCCGGAUUUAUUGGGUUUAAAGGGAGCGUAGGUGGACUGGUAAGUCAGUUGUGAAAGUUUGCGGCUCAACCGUAAAAUUGCAGUUGAUACUGUCAGUCUUGAGUACAGUAGAGGUGGGCGGAAUUCGUGGUGUAGCGGUGAAAUGCUUAGAUAUCACGAAGAACUCCGAUUGCGAAGGCAGCUCACUGGACUGCAACUGACACUGAUGCUCAAAGGUGUGGGUAUCAAACAGG
rnacentral:rRNA from 1 species